GGAGGGUGCGGGGAGGGGGGAGUCACCGCGCGCGGCGUCCACUCGCCUCCCCGGGUCUCCCUUCGCCCCCUCAGGGACCCUCCGGUGUCCCCAGGACUCCUCGCUGACAGUCCCUGCCGCCCCGAACCACCCGCCGCCCGCCCUGGGAGCCCCCAGCGCCCCUGGAGACCCCCACUUCCCUCAGGACCUUCCAGCUGGCAAAUGAGGCAAUUCCAUGCUGCCUUCCAGUGACUUGGGGUGCCUCGUUAUGCGCCUGUGCUUGCCCAGACACUCCACGGUCAGAGCCCUGUGAGCCGGCAGCGCGUCUGCAGCAGUGCAAAGCUCGGACCGCCUCAG